GGAAAAAUCGCCUAAUGGUAUGGCAAUAGUUUGCUAAACUACGGAUGUAAAAAAUCCUUGGGGGUUCGAAUCCCCUUUUUUCCG
rnacentral:tRNA from 1 species